ensembl:lncRNA
GGGCAGGAGCUGCAAGUGCAGCAGCCCCUCUGGCCAAGGGCGGCCAGUUGGCUGCCCAGCUUCAGCCAUUUAAAUAAGUACUUUGAGAAGCUCUUCGGUAGCAGCAUGAAGUCUAAGAAAUCUAAGGACGCGAAAAAGCCCGAUACACCACCAGCGAAUGCUACGAAACCCCUUCAAGCAAACGCCGUGAAACCUCUGUCAGAGAAUGCCAUGAAACUACCCCAACAGAACAGCACGAAUCCUGCACCCCGGAACAGCAUGAAACCCUGACCACCAGCCUCCUCCCAGGGCCCCAGGGCCGCACUCAUGGCAACGCCAGAUCUGUGACCUAAGCCACAGCUUGCGGUGACUCCAGAUCCUUAACCCAUGGAGCGAAGCCAGGGGUCCAACCCGCAUCUUCAUGGAUACUAGUCGGGUUCCUUACUGCCGAGCCACAAGGGGAACUCCUGCAUAUUUCUGAGGAGCAGUUAUCCCUCUGUUCAUCUUUCUGGCAUGCUUCAUGGGAACAGCUUCUCGGCUGCAAGUCUGCCCCUCAGAAGCUCCCGUUUUCCUGGGUCAAGGCCUGAACGUUUCACAUGCGUUAUUAUCUCAUGUCCUGUUCACGACAACCCUGUCAUUCUUCCCAUUUUACAGAUAAAGAACCUAAGGCUCAGAGAGGUUAAGUUUUUGCCUAAAAGCCCACAGACAGAACAUGGCCGAU